GGAUGCAUCAAUGGAGAAGAAGGCAAUUGUAAUCACAAUACAAUAAUAGAUCUACAAAUACCAAGCAAUACAUUAAAUCAAAAAUCUCAGUAACACUGUUAUUAUGUACUCCCUGUGGUCUUAUUAAUGUCAGCUUAUGGAUAGCUCGAUUACCAGUCAAAUAGUUUCGAUGUUUUCUAUACUAUGAAGAAAAUUUGAUCUGAUUAGAUUAAUUCAGAUGUAAAUUUAUGUUAUACGGUAAGAUAUUUUUAAACAAACCAAGAAAGUUCUCUUCAGACAAGUUCUGGUCUGAAACUGCAAAUAUUAACGAAAAAGUUAUACAUGUAGUUUUCUAUUCAUAAAUGAUAUUAUUGAUUUUA
rnacentral:lncRNA from 1 species